CCUACGGGUGGCAGCAGUGAGGAAUAUUGGUCAAUGGGCGAGAGCCUGAACCAGCCAAGUCGCGUGAAGGAUGACGGCCCUACGGGUUGUAAACUUCUUUUGUCAGGGAGCAAUUGAGUCCACGUGUGGUCUUAUCGAGAGUACCUGAAGAAAACGCAUCGGCGAACUCCGUGCCAGCAGCCGCGGUAAUACGGAGGAUGCGAGCGUUAUCCGGAUUUAUUGGUUUUAAAGGGAGCGUAGAUGGGUUGUUAAGUCAGUUGUGAAAGUUUGCGGCUCAACCGUAAAAUUGCAAUUGAUACUGGCAGUGUUGAGUACAGUUGAGGUAGGCGGAAUUCGUUGUGUAGCGGUGAAAUGCUUAGAUAUCACGAAGAACCCCGAUUGCGAAGGCAGCUUACUAAACUGUGACUGACAUUGAUGCUCGAAAGUGUGGGUAUCAAACAGGAUUAGAUACCCUAGUAGUC
rnacentral:rRNA from 1 species